UAGGAUAGAGGCCUACCAUGGUGGUAACGGGUAACGGGGUGUUAGGGCACGACACCGGAGAGGGAGCCUGAGAAACGGCUACCACAUCCAAGGAUGGCAGCAGGCGCGCAAAUUACCCAAUCCCGACACGGGGAGGUAGUGACAAUAAAUAACAAUACGGGGUUCUUUCGGAUCUCGUAAUUGGAAUGAGUACAAUUUAAAUCUCUUAACGAGGAACAAUUGGAGGGCAAGUCUGGUGCCAGCAGCCGCGGUAAUUCCAGCUCCAAUAGCGUAUAUUAAAGUUGUUGCAGUUAAAAAGCUCGUAGUUGAAUUUCGGGGUUAGUAGGUUGGUCAUGCUUCUGGUAUGUACUGGUCUCACUGAUUCCUCCUUCCUGAUGAACCGUAAUGCCAUUAAUUUGGUGUUGCGGGGAAUUUGGACUGUUACUUUGAAAAAAUAGAGUGUUUAAAGCAAGCUAACGCUUGAAUACAUUAGCAUGGAAUAAUGAAAUAGGACGUUCGAUCCCAUUUUGUUGGUUUCUAGGAUUGACGUAAUGAUUAAUAGGGAUAGUUGGGGGCAUUAGUAUUCAAUUGUCAGAGGUGAAAUUCUUGGAUUUAUUGAAGACUAACUACUGCGAAAGCAUUUGCCAAGGAUGUUUUCAUUAAUCAAGAACGAAAGUUAGGGGAUCGAAGACGAUCAGAUACCGUCGUAGUCUUAACCAUAAACUAUGCCGACUAGGGAUCGGAUGA
rnacentral:rRNA from 1 species